UAAGUGACAGUCUGAAGUCCCUAGAAUUUGGUUUAAUGAUUAUUUGACUUUUGAAAGUCUCCUUUCUUUAUAAUAUACAUUUAUGAUCUCAUCACUUAUGAGUGAGCAUAUAAUAAGAUUAUUCAAUUUUAAAUGAGAUAACCAAAGGAGAGGGCUUCUGGAGGCAACAGUCAUGAAAGAUGCACCUGCCCAGGUGAGACCUCAAAGAAAAAUAAUCCUGUGGGUGCAUCUAAUCUGGUAAGUGGUAUGUUUGAACCCGACUAUGACUUCCACGUAUACAUUUGUCAGAAUUGGCCAAUAAAUCAUACUAUCCAUUUUUACUGUGUUUUACUGAAGAGUUAGUGUGUUUUUCUAAGCCUGAAUUAUUUUACUAUUUCCUAUUUGAAUUUGUUUUCUGAUAUUCGGCAGGAACCCUGCUUAAAAGAAGAUGGGUACUGUAAAGUGACAAUAAUGAUGAUGAUAAUGGCUAUCAUCUAUCUAGCAUUUGCUUUGUACUAGUAUAGUACUAAGCAUUUUAUAUAUAUCCUCUCAUGCAAACUUUUCUCUGAGUGGACAAUUUUCUUAUCUACACUUCACAGAUGUGGGAACAGAGACUUCCUUAAGUAACUUGCUAGAGUUCACUUAGCUAGUUAGUAAUAGAGCUUGGGCACAAACCUGCUGUAUUUUGACUCUAGAGUUCAUGCUUGCAAACUCUUGUGUUAGUGAUCCUUGUGAAUAGUGUAGAGAUUGGUGCCAAGAGGGAGGCAGGGUCAGGUAUCAUGUGGGUGUGUCUAUUCCCCACUGUAGGGACCUCAGGAAAGCUUUCUGGAGUUUCUGAGUUCUAAAUGGAGACUUAAGCAGGAACUAAAGUAGGGAUGUGAACCUUCCAGAGUCUAUUACAGUGUGAACAAAGAAAAGAGGAAAAGAAAGAAGGGAGAAAGAAAUAGAGAAUAACAGUGAAAUAGAGAGUGAGACAGAGUUGCUCAAGCCUGACAGUUGGAUCUCUGAUUCCUCUUUUAGUCUCACUUUUCACAUCCAAUCCAUAAGCACGUCUUGUCAACUUUACCUCUAAAAUGAACCCUGAACCAAUCUAUCCAUUAUGUGAAUUGCCUAUGGGCCGAUCAUUAAAACCCUGUUGUCUAGGGGAUCAUCCAGCUUUCACCCUUGCUGAAGACUCCUUCACUCUCCUCACAGCAGCAGGAUAUUUGAUUUCCACAAUGCCACCUUCUGUGGUCACCCUCUGGCCACUUCCCACUGUGUACCGAGCCUUCCAGGUUCAGGGUGAUCUGGGUACUGUUGCCUUCUCUGAUCUUCCCUGCUGCACAUCUCACAACGCUCCCCAGGCCUUUUCUUUCCUGUGCCCAGCCAAGCCUACAUCCACUUAGAAGAACAGUACCCAGUACACAGGCAUUCAGGAAGUGAGUGACAGAAUGAGAACAAUUGUAUGAAAAUGCAUGAAUGAGAACAUACAAGAAGAGGACGUACAUAAAGGCAGAGGGAAAUAGAAGAAAAGAGGAAGAGCAGAGGGAAGCAAUAGAGACCAGGAGACAGAAUGGGGUGGAAAAAGCCAAGUAUUUCCAUUUGAGUGGAACCUAGAGUGGCAAGUGGGGAGUGGAGAAACAGGAGGCUGGAGUGACUUUUAAAAAUGAGUUCUGUAACUAAACACACCUAGAUUGGUCAUUUAUAAAUUUAAAAUCCCUGAUAGCACCACUGAGGUAUGCAAUUGCACAUAGCCUACACCUUUAAAAAAAAAAAAAAAAAACUUUUCAGGGACAAAUAAAAGAGCAUUCAUCAAUAACUUGCUCAAGAGGAAAUCCGUCUUCCUUUUUCAUGCAGUCACCAUAAAACAUGGCAGAAUAAAGGCUUGUGCAUAAAUGAACUUUGGGGAAUCAUGAAGGGAAAUUAUGUAGAGCUCCAGGAGAGGACAUGUAAAUUCCUCACUAAAUUUUGGCCCCAAAUGUAAACAAUCACUCUGAAGAAAAUAUUCAUAAAGAAUUUGAAAUUGCUAUUGAUAUAUGAAAGGGGAUACAUUGUGACUACAUCAAGUUAUUAUUUUUCUGUGUAUAAGAGAAUAAAUACUGUUUGGAAAAAAAUUCCAAAA